rnacentral:rRNA from 2 species
UUGGUGUGGUUGUUGCUGGCCCUCUAGGGGGCAUGUGCACACCCMCCAUCCUCAUCUCUCCACCUGUGCACCUCUUGUAGAUCUGGAUAGACUUUCCGAGGCAACUCGGUCGGGAAGAUUGCUGCACUCUGUGAGCCAGCUUUCUUUGCAUGUCCAGGUCUAUGUUUUUCAUAUACCCCUAUAGAAUGUAACAGAAUGUAUCAUCGGGCUUUGUGCCUAUAAACCUAAUACAACUUUCAGCAACGGAUCUCUUGGCUCUCGCAUCGAUGAAGAACGCAGCGAAAUGCGAUAAGUAAUGUGAAUUGCAGAAUUCAGUGAAUCAUCGAAUCUUUGAACGCACCUUGCGCUCCUUGGUAUUCCGAGGAGCAUGCCUGUUUGAGUGUCAUUAAAUUCUCAACCUUAUUAGCUUUUGUUAAUAAUGGAUUGGAUGUGGGGGUUUCUUUUGCUGGUUUCAUCACAGAGAUCAGCUCCCCUUAAAUGCAUUAGCUGGUGCCCCGCGUGGACCAUCUAUUGGUGUGAUAAUUAUCUACGCCGUGGAUGUCUGCAAUUAUAUGGGUUUUGCACUGCUUCUAACCGUCUGUUCAUUCGGACAAUAUUGACAAUUUGACCUCAAAUCAGGUAGGACUACCCGCUGAACUUAAGCAUAUCAAUAAGCGGAGGAAAAGAAACUAACAAGGAUUCCCCUAGUAACUGCGAGUGAAGCGGGAAAAGCUCAAAUUUAAAAUCUGGCGGUCUCCGGCCGUCCGAGUUGUAAUCUAGAGAAGUGUUAUCCGCGCUGGACC